rnacentral:rRNA from 1 species
CACAUGCAAGUCGUGCGAGAAGUUCCUUCGGGAGCGAGUAAAGCGGCGCACGGGUGAGUAACACGUAGGUAACCUGCCCCCCCAGUCUGGAACAACUAGAGGAAACUCUAGCUAAUGCCGGAUGAGACCACGAUCCCUUCGGGGGUUGCGGCCAAAGAUGGCCUCUACUUGUAAGCUAUCGCUGAGGGAUGGGCCUGCGGGCCAUUAGCUUGUUGGUGAGGUAACGGCUCACCAAGGCUGUGAUGGCUAGCUGGUCUGAGAGGAUGACCAGCCACACUGGGACUGAGACACGGCCCAGACUCCUACGGGAGGCAGCAGUGGGGAAUAUUGCGCAAUGGGCGAAAGCCUGACGCAGCGACGCCGCGUGGGUGAUGAAGGCCGUCGGGUCGUAAAGCCCUGUCGCAGGGGAAGAAUAAGCAUCGGUAUAAUACGCCGGUGCCCUGACGGUACCCUGCAAGAAAGCACCGGCUAACUCCGUG